AAAAAAAAAAAAAAAAAAAAAACACACUUUACUGCCAAACUAACUACUAUAAUAAGAGUUGCAGACAAUGAAAACUAUGCAGACACUAGGCCAUGCAAGACUAACCCCAGCUGAGUGAACCAAAUUGCCCAGGUGUUAAAAAAAAAAAAAUUAUAUAUAUAUAUAUAUAUAUAUAUAUAUAUAUAUAUAAAUAAAAACCACCAAAACACAAAAGUACAUUUUUCAUUAAAACAAGCAAAUAGUGAUAUAUACACUGAUAACAAGUCAUGUAACUACACAUAGGCAGAAGAUAUAAAAUUCAUGUUAGUCUAAAUUCAAUAUUUUAACUUGACCAGUCACAAACUCAAAAAAGAAAUCCCAACUAUCCUCAACAGGCCGGGACAAGUGCAAUACCACACAAACAGACAGCAUUGCAACCAAUCCCAACCUGUGCAGAAAGUGGCAUCUUUCUAUCCAAGUCUGCUGAAAGAC